rnacentral:rRNA from 1 species
GUGUCAGCCGCCGCGGUAAGACAGAGGGUGCAAACGUUGUUCGGAAUUACUGGGCGUAAAGCGCGUGUAGGCGGCUCGGAAAGUCGGGUGUGAAAGCCCUGGGCUUAACCCAGGAAGUGCACUCGAAACUUCCGAGCUGGAGUCCUGGAGAGGAAGGCGGAAUUCUCGGUGUAGAGGUGAAAUUCGUAGAUAUCGAGAGGAACACCGGUGGCGAAGGCGGCCUUCUGGACAGUGACUGACGCUGAGACGCGAAAGCGUGGGGAGCAAACAGGAUUAGAUACCCCGGUAGUCC